rnacentral:rRNA from 1 species
GACGAACGCUGGCGGCGUGCCUAAUACAUGCAAGUCGAACGAGUGGCGGACGGGUGAGUAAUGUCUGGGAAAAUGCCUGAUGGAGGGGGAUAACUACUGGAAACGGUAGCUAAUACCGCAUACCAUCAGAUGUGCCCAGAUGGGAUUAGCUUGUUGGUGGGGUAACGGCUCACCAAGGCGACGAUCCCUAGCUGGUCUGAGAGGAUGACCACCCACACUUGAACUGAGACACGGUCCAGCCUCCUACGGUAGGCUGCAGUGGGGAAUAUUCCCCAAUGGGCGCAAGCCUUAUGCAGCCAUGCCGCGGGUAUGAAGAAUUCCUUCGGGUUGUAAGGUACUUUCAGCGGGGAGGCGUUACCCGCAGAAGAAGCACCGGCUAACUCCGUGCCAGCAGCCGCGGUAAUUC